GGGGUUUUCCGGUCACAUUACAUCAAGCAAGAGAAACAUGGAGCGUAUGGCUGAUUACAGACGCAUGGCUCAAUCUGUGCAGACUAAACUCGAAUUUUGUUUACCCAUAUUGUUUGAUGGACGCUAAAAGAUUAUGCAUUGAAAACUGUAGUGAGUGAAUGUCAACUAAUCCCUAUUAUGUAAUUUGGCAAGGAAGUUAGUAGAAAGGCCAGUAGCUAAUGGCUAACUAGCACUUAGGACUCGUUCAAGAAAAGUCGGAGGCAUUACGAGCACCACAAUCAUGUGCGGAGACUGCGCACGUGGUCCGCAGCAUGGCCCCUUGAGGCCACGUUGGGACCAUGGAACCCCUUGUGUUCUCUUGAGGGAAUCGUCGAGUUAAUGUGGCUUAAGUCUUGGAGCAGGUGGCGUGUAAGCCAUUAACAGCGUGGCUCCUUUCUACGAAGGAACCCGGCAUUCAGUUUUCCCUCAAAGACUUGAAGAUGCAGUCAUGGAACAAGUCCAAUGUGGCGCAAGAUGAAUACCAUGGAGAGAAUUCAACUAAUACAACUCAAUUUAUUGAACAUUAUUAAGUUGUCCAAUAAAGUCACAUUUGUAGUGGAAUGUUUUGUGUUAUGUUCAUUUAUUGUAACUGUAUGCACUGUCUUUGAGCCAGCGGAGCCCUCUCCAUGGCUCUGUCGGCCAAGCUACAGCUGCAAGAACAAAUCAAAGGCUUGUUAUAACUGGGGUUACUUGGCAUUUCAUCCCAAGUUUCUCUUUUAAAUGCAACUCACAUCUAAUCACUAAUAAUUGUCAUGUGUGUAUUUUGAUCUUUAAUCUGUAUACGUCAUAAGGCUUUGGGUGAUUGGAGGUACCCAUUCCCUCAUUUUAGAGCUACAAGGAAUAAACCAGUAUACAUUGUU